GUAAACACACACAUAUAUACCUUGACCAAGAGGCGAGCGUCAGACGCUAUCCAGACAGCAGCCGUUAAACAGUUGUUCAUCUAGAGUUGAAGACUGCAUCCAGCACAAGAACAAAUAAACAAGUCAGAUAAAAGACCAGGUGAAGUAAGAUACCUAUCUAGGUCCAGAAUACAAAUAAUAAAAAUCUGUUAUCAAGAUGUCGAAGUACCAAGGAAGACAAAAGGGUCGGAUGCCGGAAAACGACUAUCAUAAAAUCCGAGCUAAUUUCUGUUAUCUGUUGGAUCAUAUCAAAGAACCAGUAAUACUUGGUAAUAAAUUAUUUGAAAAAAACGUUUUCAACGCAGAUGAAAAGGAAGAAAUACAGAAAAUAUACAUGAACGUUGAAAAGGGUCGGAAUUCAGCUGCUGACAAGUUACUGAUGUAUGUCUUGUCAAACUGUGGUGAUGCCUAUGGUAAAUUCAUCCAAUGUUUACGAGAGCUAGGUUACAGAGAAAUCGUAAAGGUAUUAGAAAACACCACAAAUGGUAAGUUUAUUUCUAUUUUACACAUAAACAUUGAUAACUUAUAAAAAUAGAAAUACGAACGUAGCGGUUCUGUUCUUAUUUGCUUGCAUGAAUCUGAUGUUUCUAUUUUAAACAUUGAUAACUUAUAAAAAUAGAAAUAUGAACGUGAGGGUUCUGUUCUUAUAUUUGCUUGAAUGAAUCCGAUUUUUUGCGAGAAAUGAUUUUUAUUACUUCCAUGAUUAAAGAUCGUUAAUUACUCGCCUACACAUUUUAAACGUUUUAAUUACUACCGUUUUCAUGAAAAUUAAAUCAUAGAAAAUAUAAAUGAUGAAUCCCUAUUAUGUUUUCUUAUCUUUACUAAAUUAGGCCUACAACAGGUGCCUUUUAUUAACAUGACAAUAUACUGUAUGUGAUUAUAGCAAAAUAAGAAAGAUUGAUACUAUAAACGAAUUAUCUGGACUAAGACUAGUAAUUAUUUCCCCUUAUUUCAUGAUGGACGAAUGUAGUGCGAGUUAUAAAUAGACAAUUUUUCCCUUAAUUUUUUUCUCCCCUCUUCCUGCAUUUUUGGGUUGACUUUUUGGUCUAGAAUUGGAGAAAAGGGAUCAAAUUUGCAAUUUCAUAGCAGUUUUGGGUAAUACUGAUGAUAUUACAGCGGAGGGAUAGGGGGUGUAAAGUGUCUUUCUGCAGAGCAGUCAUUGUGUCGGAAGUGAGAUUUUCACCCCAGUCAACUUCAAAUCCGUGUAGCAAAAAAUCUAAAUGGUCAACCCCCUACAAAAUUAUGAUGAGGAGAUUGCCAAAUGUUGUCCCCAUUGUGCCUAUAAAGAUUGGAACCAACGGAAUGUUGAGAAAAAAGCUACAGCCUGUGAUGUUACAGCCAUUUAACAUUGAAGUCAAUGGGCAAAUAAUUGCUAGUCUGAGUCCUGAUGAGGUAAAGAAACAUGGCCGACUCGGGAUGUUGAUAUUUUUUCAAGGGCUUAUUUCCUGAAAUUUUGAAUGGAAAGUGUCAGAAAUAGUAAGAAUACUGCUUUUUUAUUGCCCAGCAGUAAGUUUUUUGACUAUUUGGUAUCAAAAUAGCCAUGAUUGGGGGUAUCCGUUGGUUGAGUGUGAAUUUUGGGUUGUAAAUGUGUAACAUUUUCUUCACAAUGAUAUCAAAACAUGGUUAGGUCUAAAUAUUAAGGCCAACUCAACUCCAGAUUUGGUCUAAAGUCACGAGAUGUAAACAAGGCUGACCCUAACCCUAACCCAAGACCCAGUCCUUACCCUAACCCUAACCCACAAUCUUGUCAAGAAGCAUGUAGCCUAGGCCUAAGCCAAGACCUAGUUCUGACCCUAGCCCAAACCCACAAUUGUGUAAAAAAAUCAUGUGCCCUAACCCUAUUUACAUGUUGUGACCUUGAACCAAGUCUGCAGUUGGCCUUAACAUUUAGACCUAACAUGUUUUUGACAUCAUACAAUGAAAUGUUAACAUGUACACUCCAAAAUUCACACCUGUGUGACUUUUGACCAAACAUGCAGUUGGCCUUAAUAUUUAGACCGAACCUCAAAACAUGGCAUCUACCUUUGAGAUUGGCUUAGACUUAUGUGACACUCAAGGUUUACUUUUUUACUGAUUGUUAACUGGUUUCUUUUUGGAGGGCCAGUGACGGGCUGUUCGCGAGAAAUAAAGAGGUUUAUUUCUAUUUCCAGUUGAAACCAUAUUUUUUUCUUAUUUUCUCACUGUUUUUUAUUGCAUAUUUAUCCCCAGCCUCCUAUCAUUUCAGGUGCCAGGGCAUUGUUUCAUAGAGUGGAAUGAUUGACCUCAACACAAGUAUUAAAAAAAAAGAAGCAAAACAGGUCUACAUCUCAAAACCUGAUCUCUUCCUGGACUGGCUUUAGGAGAACGAUGAUGCAUAUCAAUUUCAUCCCUGAUCUCUAUGACACCUGUGGUGGAAGUGGAGGGCAAAUCGUAAUCAGUUUGGGACCUCUGUAAACUUUGCUUUUUGGUGAUGACUUAAUUUCCGAGCUUGAAAAGGACGCUUGUGUGUUUAUCAUGGCCUCUCAUAUUGGAAGAUAACAUUAAUGGCUUGUGUGUUGAUCGACGGUUGUGCAUAUCUCUUGGUCAGGAAAGUUGUAGGCACCAUCGCCAUUGUAAAUCAUUUGACAGGCUCGAGUGAACGGGGCGACCUAUGAUUGGUCAGCAAUGUAUCAGAUUCCAUACCGGGGGGUGGGGAUGAAAAAACUGUUGUAGUGUUACAUAAUCAGAUUAUUUCAACUUACUUAUCCUGUGGAAAUACAGCUAUAUAGGAGAUAUUUUGAAAUUCAUAGGCACUGCAUGUUUCAACAUUUUAGAUUUGACCACAAUUUGGCACUUAAAACUAUGUUAACAGAGAAAAACUGUGUGGUUUUCGAUGAAAGUGUUAAAAGUCUAAUAUUGCAUCAUGAUUACUGUUUUAAAGUAUUUUCGUGUUUGAUUUAUAUUGAAUUCAUCUCAUCUUUUUGAAGAAUGCAUUUAUGUUCAAAAAUAAAAAUGUUCUGUGGAAUUCAAAAUUCAUGUGCUUUUAAAUUAUCAGAUUCCAAACUGGGGGGUAGGGAUGAAAAAGCUGUUGUAGUGUUACAUAAUCAGAUUAUUUCAACUUACUUAUCCUAUGGAAAUACAGCUAUAUAGGAGAUAUUUUAAAAUUCAUAGGCACUGCAUGUUUCAACAUUUUAGAUUUGACCACAAUUUGGCACUUGAAACUACGUUAACAGAGAAAAACUGUGUGGUUUUCGAUGAAAGUGUUAAAAAGUCUAAUAUUGCAUCAUGAUUACUGUUUUAAAGUAUUUUCGUGUUUGAUUUAUAUUGAAUUUAUCUCAUCUUUUUACAGAAUGCAUUUAUGUUCAAAAAUAAAAAUGUUCUGUUUAAUUCAAAAUUCAUGUGCUUUUAAAUUUCUGUCUGAAAUUCCGCAGUUUUCUGAUGCAUUAUAGUGUUUGCAGAAUGCCGCACAGCUCAUCUGAAAAUGCAUAGAUUUUCAUAUUCUUUGGUCAGGGAAUUGCAUAUAUGUUUGUUUAUUAGAUAACAACAGAUUUGUUUAAACUGCAGAAACAUGUGAGGUAUAUAGGACUAAGACUAGUAAUUAUUUCCCCUUAUUUCAUGAUGGACGAAUGUAGUGCGAGUUAUAAAUAGACAAUUUUUCCCUUAAUUUUUUUCUCCCCUCUUCCUGCAUUUUUGGGUUGACUUUUUGGUCUAGAAUUGGAGAAAAGGGAUCAAAUUUGCAAUUUCAUAGCAGUUUUGGGUAAUACUGAUGAUAUUACAGCGGAGGGAUAGGGGGUGUAAAGUGUCUUUCUGCAGAGCAGUCAUUGUGUCGGAAGUGAGAUUUUCACCCCAGUCAACUUCAAAUCCGUGUAGCAAAAAAUCUAAAUGGUCAACCCCCUACAAAAUUAUGAUGAGGAGAUUGCCAAAUGUUGUCCCCAUUGUGCCUAUAAAGAUUGGAACCAACGGAAUGUUGAGAAAAAAGCUACAGCCUGUGAUGUUACAGCCAUUUAACAUUGAAGUCAAUGGGCAAAUAAUUGCUAGUCUGAGUCCUGAUGAGGUAAAGAAACAUGGCCGACUCGGGAUGUUGAUAUUUUUUCAAGGGCUUAUUUCCUGAAAUUUUGAAUGGAAAGUGUCAGAAAUAGUAAGAAUACUGCUUUUUUAUUGCCCAGCAGUAAGUUUUUUGACUAUUUGGUAUCAAAAUAGCCAUGAUUGGGGGUAUCCGUUGGUUGAGUGUGAAUUUUGGGUUGUAAAUGUGUAACAUUUUCUUCACAAUGAUAUCAAAACAUGGUUAGGUCUAAAUAUUAAGGCCAACUCAACUCCAGAUUUGGUCUAAAGUCACGAGAUGUAAACAAGGCUGACCCUAACCCUAACCCAAGACCCAGUCCUUACCCUAACCCUAACCCACAAUCUUGUCAAGAAGCAUGUAGCCUAGGCCUAAGCCAAGACCUAGUUCUGACCCUAGCCCAAACCCACAAUUGUGUAAAAAAAUCAUGUGCCCUAACCCUAUUUACAUGUUGUGACCUUGAACCAAGUCUGCAGUUGGCCUUAACAUUUAGACCUAACAUGUUUUUGACAUCAUACAAUGAAAUGUUAACAUGUACACUCCAAAAUUCACACCUGUGUGACUUUUGACCAAACAUGCAGUUGGCCUUAAUAUUUAGACCGAACCUCAAAACAUGGCAUCUACCUUUGAGAUUGGCUUAGACUUAUGUGACACUCAAGGUUUACUUUUUUACUGAUUGUUAACUGGUUUCUUUUUGGAGGGCCAGUGACGGGCUGUUCGCGAGAAAUAAAGAGGUUUAUUUCUAUUUCCAGUUGAAACCAUAUUUUUUUCUUAUUUUCUCACUGUUUUUUAUUGCAUAUUUAUCCCCAGCCUCCUAUCAUUUCAGGUGCCAGGGCAUUGUUUCAUAGAGUGGAAUGAUUGACCUCAACACAAGUAUUAAAAAAAAAGAAGCAAAACAGGUGAGAUAAAUGUGCAUUUCAUACACUUUUAAGAAGUAAAUCCAACCUCAUCCCCACUUCUGCUCACUAAUAGUAAUGGGCUGGAAAUUUGGUACUGCACAGGCCUGUCUUCUCCCCUUGACAUUUAACUGAAUGACAGAAUUCCACAUUUUGACCAUUUUCUGGAUGUCAAUGACCAUUUCCCUGGAUAGUAUUCGCCCCAGAAUUCUCAUUCUCAUCCAAAUUUAACAUUUCAGGUCUACAUCUCAAAACCUGAUCUCUUCCUGGACUGGCUUUAGGAGAACGAUGAUGCAUAUCAAUUUCAUCCCUGAUCUCUAUGACACCUGUGGUGGAAGUGGAGGGCAAAUCGUAAUCAGUUUGGGACCUCUGUAAACUUUGCUUUUUGGUGAUGACUUAAUUUCCGAGCUUGAAAAGGACGCUUGUGUGUUUAUCAUGGCCUCUCAUAUUGGAAGAUAACAUUAAUGGCUUGUGUGUUGAUCGACGGUUGUGCAUAUCUCUUGGUCAGGAAAGUUGUAGGCACCAUCGCCAUUGUAAAUCAUUUGACAGGCUCGAGUGAACGGGGCGACCUAUGAUUGGUCAGCAAUGUAUCAGAUUCCAUACCGGGGGGUGGGGAUGAAAAAACUGUUGUAGUGUUACAUAAUCAGAUUAUUUCAACUUACUUAUCCUGUGGAAAUACAGCUAUAUAGGAGAUAUUUUGAAAUUCAUAGGCACUGCAUGUUUCAACAUUUUAGAUUUGACCACAAUUUGGCACUUAAAACUAUGUUAACAGAGAAAAACUGUGUGGUUUUCGAUGAAAGUGUUAAAAGUCUAAUAUUGCAUCAUGAUUACUGUUUUAAAGUAUUUUCGUGUUUGAUUUAUAUUGAAUUCAUCUCAUCUUUUUGAAGAAUGCAUUUAUGUUCAAAAAUAAAAAUGUUCUGUGGAAUUCAAAAUUCAUGUGCUUUUAAAUUAUCAGAUUCCAAACUGGGGGGUAGGGAUGAAAAAGCUGUUGUAGUGUUACAUAAUCAGAUUAUUUCAACUUACUUAUCCUAUGGAAAUACAGCUAUAUAGGAGAUAUUUUAAAAUUCAUAGGCACUGCAUGUUUCAACAUUUUAGAUUUGACCACAAUUUGGCACUUGAAACUACGUUAACAGAGAAAAACUGUGUGGUUUUCGAUGAAAGUGUUAAAAAGUCUAAUAUUGCAUCAUGAUUACUGUUUUAAAGUAUUUUCGUGUUUGAUUUAUAUUGAAUUUAUCUCAUCUUUUUACAGAAUGCAUUUAUGUUCAAAAAUAAAAAUGUUCUGUUUAAUUCAAAAUUCAUGUGCUUUUAAAUUUCUGUCUGAAAUUCCGCAGUUUUCUGAUGCAUUAUAGUGUUUGCAGAAUGCCGCACAGCUCAUCUGAAAAUGCAUAGAUUUUCAUAUUCUUUGGUCAGGGAAUUGCAUAUAUGUUUGUUUAUUAGAUAACAACAGAUUUGUUUAAACUGCAGAAACAUGUGAGGUAUAUAUAUAUGGACUAAGACUAGUAAUUAUUUCCCCUUAUUUCAUGAUGGACGAAUGUAGUGCGAGUUAUAAAUAGACAAUUUUUCCCUUAAUUUUUUUCUCCCCUCUUCCUGCAUUUUUGGGUUGACUUUUUGGUCUAGAAUUGGAGAAAAGGGAUCAAAUUUGCAAUUUCAUAGCAGUUUUGGGUAAUACUGAUGAUAUUACAGCGGAGGGAUAGGGGGUGUAAAGUGUCUUUCUGCAGAGCAGUCAUUGUGUCGGAAGUGAGAUUUUCACCCCAGUCAACUUCAAAUCCGUGUAGCAAAAAAUCUAAAUGGUCAACCCCCUACAAAAUUAUGAUGAGGAGAUUGCCAAAUGUUGUCCCCAUUGUGCCUAUAAAGAUUGGAACCAACGGAAUGUUGAGAAAAAAGCUACAGCCUGUGAUGUUACAGCCAUUUAACAUUGAAGUCAAUGGGCAAAUAAUUGCUAGUCUGAGUCCUGAUGAGGUAAAGAAACAUGGCCGACUCGGGAUGUUGAUAUUUUUUCAAGGGCUUAUUUCCUGAAAUUUUGAAUGGAAAGUGUCAGAAAUAGUAAGAAUACUGCUUUUUUAUUGCCCAGCAGUAAGUUUUUUGACUAUUUGGUAUCAAAAUAGCCAUGAUUGGGGGUAUCCGUUGGUUGAGUGUGAAUUUUGGGUUGUAAAUGUGUAACAUUUUCUUCACAAUGAUAUCAAAACAUGGUUAGGUCUAAAUAUUAAGGCCAACUCAACUCCAGAUUUGGUCUAAAGUCACGAGAUGUAAACAAGGCUGACCCUAACCCUAACCCAAGACCCAGUCCUUACCCUAACCCUAACCCACAAUCUUGUCAAGAAGCAUGUAGCCUAGGCCUAAGCCAAGACCUAGUUCUGACCCUAGCCCAAACCCACAAUUGUGUAAAAAAAUCAUGUGCCCUAACCCUAUUUACAUGUUGUGACCUUGAACCAAGUCUGCAGUUGGCCUUAACAUUUAGACCUAACAUGUUUUUGACAUCAUACAAUGAAAUGUUAACAUGUACACUCCAAAAUUCACACCUGUGUGACUUUUGACCAAACAUGCAGUUGGCCUUAAUAUUUAGACCGAACCUCAAAACAUGGCAUCUACCUUUGAGAUUGGCUUAGACUUAUGUGACACUCAAGGUUUACUUUUUUACUGAUUGUUAACUGGUUUCUUUUUGGAGGGCCAGUGACGGGCUGUUCGCGAGAAAUAAAGAGGUUUAUUUCUAUUUCCAGUUGAAACCAUAUUUUUUUCUUAUUUUCUCACUGUUUUUUAUUGCAUAUUUAUCCCCAGCCUCCUAUCAUUUCAGGUGCCAGGGCAUUGUUUCAUAGAGUGGAAUGAUUGACCUCAACACAAGUAUUAAAAAAAAAGAAGCAAAACAGGUGAGAUAAAUGUGCAUUUCAUACACUUUUAAGAAGUAAAUCCAACCUCAUCCCCACUUCUGCUCACUAAUAGUAAUGGGCUGGAAAUUUGGUACUGCACAGGCCUGUCUUCUCCCCUUGACAUUUAACUGAAUGACAGAAUUCCACAUUUUGACCAUUUUCUGGAUGUCAAUGACCAUUUCCCUGGAUAGUAUUCGCCCCAGAAUUCUCAUUCUCAUCCAAAUUUAACAUUUCAGGUCUACAUCUCAAAACCUGAUCUCUUCCUGGACUGGCUUUAGGAGAACGAUGAUGCAUAUCAAUUUCAUCCCUGAUCUCUAUGACACCUGUGGUGGAAGUGGAGGGCAAAUCGUAAUCAGUUUGGGACCUCUGUAAACUUUGCUUUUUGGUGAUGACUUAAUUUCCGAGCUUGAAAAGGACGCUUGUGUGUUUAUCAUGGCCUCUCAUAUUGGAAGAUAACAUUAAUGGCUUGUGUGUUGAUCGACGGUUGUGCAUAUCUCUUGGUCAGGAAAGUUGUAGGCACCAUCGCCAUUGUAAAUCAUUUGACAGGCUCGAGUGAACGGGGCGACCUAUGAUUGGUCAGCAAUGUAUCAGAUUCCAUACCGGGGGGUGGGGAUGAAAAAACUGUUGUAGUGUUACAUAAUCAGAUUAUUUCAACUUACUUAUCCUGUGGAAAUACAGCUAUAUAGGAGAUAUUUUGAAAUUCAUAGGCACUGCAUGUUUCAACAUUUUAGAUUUGACCACAAUUUGGCACUUAAAACUAUGUUAACAGAGAAAAACUGUGUGGUUUUCGAUGAAAGUGUUAAAAGUCUAAUAUUGCAUCAUGAUUACUGUUUUAAAGUAUUUUCGUGUUUGAUUUAUAUUGAAUUCAUCUCAUCUUUUUGAAGAAUGCAUUUAUGUUCAAAAAUAAAAAUGUUCUGUGGAAUUCAAAAUUCAUGUGCUUUUAAAUUAUCAGAUUCCAAACUGGGGGGUAGGGAUGAAAAAGCUGUUGUAGUGUUACAUAA